rnacentral:rRNA from 1 species
UACGUAGGGUGCAAGCGUUGUCCGGAAUUAUUGGGCGUAAAGAGCUCGUAGGUGGUUCCGUAAGUCAGGUGUGAAACCUCCAGGCUCAACCUGGAGACGCCACUUGAUACUGCGGUGACUGGAGUCCGGUAGGGGAGCGUGGAAUUCCUGGUGUAGCGGUGAAAUGCGCAGAUAUCAGGAGGAACACCAGCGGCGAAGGCGGCGCUCUGGGCCGGUACUGACACUGAGGAGCGAAAGCGUGGGUAGCAAACAGG